GACGAACGCUGGCGGCGUGCCUAAUACAUGCAAGUAGAACGCUGAAGGAGGAGCUUGCUUCUCUGGAUGAGUUGCGAACGGGUGAGUAACGCGUAGGUAACCUGCCUGGUAGCGGGGGAUAACUAUUGGAAACGAUAGCUAAUACCGCAUAAUAGUAGAUGUUGCAUGACAUUUGCUUAAAAGGUGCAAUUGCAUCACUACCAGAUGGACCUGCGUUGUAUUAGCUAGUUGGUGAGGUAACGGCUCACCAAGGCGACGAUACAUAGCCGACCUGAGAGGGUGAUCGGCCACACUGGGACUGAGACACGGCCCAGACUCCUACGGGAGGCAGCAGUAGGGAAUCUUCGGCAAUGGACGGAAGUCUGACCGAGCAACGCCGCGUGAGUGAAGAAGGUUUUCGGAUCGUAAAGCUCUGUUGUAAGAGAAGAACUAGUGUGAGAGUGGAAAGUUCACACUGUGACGGUAUCUUACCAGAAAGGGACGGCUAACUACGUG
rnacentral:rRNA from 1 species